rnacentral:tRNA from 1 species
GGUCAAGAGGUUAAGACACCGCCCUUUCACGGCGGUAACAGGGGUUCAAUUCCACCAAUUA